UACGUAGGGUGCAAGCGUUAAUCGGACUUACUGGGCGUAAAGCGUGCGCAGGCGGUUUUGUAAGUCUGUCGUGAAAGCCCCGGGCUCAACCUGGGAAUUGCGAUGGAGACUGCAAGGCUUGAAUCUGGCAGAGGGGGGUAGAAUUCCACGUGUAGCAGUGAAAUGCGUAGAGAUGUGGAGGAACACCGAUGGCGAAGGCAGCCCCCUGGGUCAAGAUUGACGCUCAUGCACGAAAGCGUGGGGAGCAAACAGG
rnacentral:rRNA from 1 species